rnacentral:rRNA from 1 species
GAGGCCGAAAGGCGUAGUCGAUGGGAAACGGGUUAAUAUUCCCGUACUUGGUGUUACUGCGAAGGGGGGACGGAGAAGGCUAUGUUGGCCGGGCGACGGUUGUCCCGGUUUAAGCGUGUAGGUGUGUGUUCCAGGUAAAUCCGGUUCACUUUAACACUGAGGCGUGAUGACGAGGCACUACGGUGCUGAAGCAACAAAUGCCCUGCUUCCAGGAAAAGCCUCUAAGCAUCAGGUAACAUCAAAUCGUACCCCAAACCGACACAGGUGGUCAGGUAGAGAAUACCAAGGCGCUUGAGAGAACUCGGGUGAAGGAACUAGGCAAAAUGGUGCCGUAACUUCGGGAGAAGGCACGCUGACACGUAGGUGAAGUGAUUUACUCAUGGAGCUGAAGUCAGUCGAAGAUACCAGCUGGCUGCAACUGUUUAUUAAAAACACAGCACUGUGCAAACACGAAAGUGGACGUAUACGGUGUGACGCCUGCCCGGUGCCGGAAGGUUAAUUGAUGGGGUCAGCGCAAGCGAAGCUCCUGAUCGAAGCCCCGGUAAACGGCGGCCGUAACUAUAACGGUCCUAAGGUAGCGAAAUUCCUUGUCGGGUAAGUUCCGACCUGCACGAAUGGCGUAAUGAUGGCCAGGCUGUCUCCACCCGAGACUCAGUGAAAUUGAACUCGCUGUGAAGAUGCAGUGUACCCGCGGCAAGACGGAAAGACCCCGUGAACCUUUACUAUAGCUUGACACUGAACAUUGAGCCUUGAUGUGUAGGAUAGGUGGGAGGCUUUGAAGUGUGGACGCCAGUCUGCAUGGAGCCGGCCUUGAAAUACCACCCUUUAAUGUUUGAUGUUCUAACGUGGACCCGUGAUCCGGGUUGCGGACAGUGUCUGGUGGGUAGUUUGACUGGGGCGGUCUCCUCCUAAAGAGUAACGGAGGAGCACGAAGGUUGGCUAAUCCUGGUCGGACAUCAGGAGGUUAGUGCAAUGGCAUAAGCCAGCUUGACUGCGAGCGUGACGGCGCGAGCAGGUGCGAAAGCAGGUCAUAGUGAUCCGGUGGUUCUGAAUGGAAGGGCCAUCGCUCAACGGAUAAAAGGUACUCCGGGGAUAACAGGCUGAUACCGCCCAAGAGUUCAUAUCGACGGCGGUGUUUGGCACCUCGAUGUCGGCUCAUCACAUCCUGGGGCUGAAGUAGGUCCCAAGGGUAUGGCUGUUCGCCAUUUAAAGUGGUACGCGAGCUGGGUUUAGAACGUCGUGAGACAGUUCGGUCCCUAUCUGCCGUGGGCGCUGGAGAACUGAGGGGGGCUGCUCCUAGUACGAGAGGACCGGAGUGGACGCAUCACUGGUGUUCGGGUUGUCAUGCCAAUGGCACUGCCCGGUAGCUAAAUGCGGAAGAGAUAAGUGCUGAAAGCAUCUAAGCACGAAACUUGCCCCGA